AAUUGUAAAAAUGAUGAAUGAUUUUGGCUGAAGAGUUCUUGAUGACCAUAUUCAUCACCCAAGACUGAUAAAUAUUA
rfam:Drosophila grimshawi strain TSC#15287-2541.00 scaffold_15110 genomic scaffold, whole genome shotgun sequence.